rnacentral:lncRNA from 1 species
UUGGCUUGCAGACUGCUGCGAGCUGUUUUCCUCCCCAGAAGAACGCUGCAGCGGUAAGCACUAAACACCCAGGAGUCUCCCAAGCACUGGCUCAACCGGCUAGAGCGCGAGCAGCCAGCCAGCCGCUGGGAGACGCUGCCCAGGCUCCCCCAGACUUUCUGGAACUUUCUGCUAGCUCCUGUCUUCUCAGCGCCCAGGAAUUUUCUUGGCUCCUGUGACGCAGCUGGCUGGCCAUGGCUGUGGACGUUUCUGAAUUUCUUCCCAUUAUUACUGUGUCAGAAUGGAAUGCAAAUCUUAAAAAAGAAAUUUUAUCAUGGUUUUCCACUACUAUAAAAGUAAUAACAAGCCAGGCA